UGGAGGCGUUAUCGAAACUACAUAAAGGAAAAAUACUUUGAUCCAUUUGUUGAUGAUGAAUCAACUGAAAGGAUGUAUGCUAGUCUUCCUCCAUACAUUGAUCGAUUCACUUUCGAAAAGUUUGUGGAAGAAUUAUGGACUACAGAAAAAUUUAAGGUAUUGUUUUUUAUACAUCCAUACUUCAAUAAUUUACUAUUUUAUAUUGUAAGUUGUUUAACAUUAUAUAUGAAUUCGCAGAGAAAAUCCAAAAUAAACAAAACAAACCGGAGUAAGAAGAUACUAAUCCAUAAAACAGGGUCAAUUCCUUUCAGUGCAAUAAGAGAAAAUCUGCAAAGCGAAGGCAUUGAGGCAUCACGAAUCAAUGUAUUGAUUCGUUCUUUUGGUACUGACAACGAAGUCGUUGUAAGUCUUAGUUUAUUUUAUAAUGUUCAUAAAUAGUAGUUUAUUGAUCUACUCAUAGCUUAUUACUUAUUUUAUAGAGAAACUUGUCUGAAUAUUACAAAAGUGAUGAAAUUCAAGAAUUACGUCCAACAACGGAUGAAGAUGUAUGUUUUAAAUUAUUUUACUAUUUCAAAUUAUUCAAAUGUUUUAUUUUCUUAUAUAUUAUUUUUCGCACGUAGGUGAUUCAACAAAAAUGCAUUUCUAAGUUUAUUCAAAGCAAAAAAGGGAGGAAC
rnacentral:lncRNA from 1 species